CUGGCGGCACGCUUAACACAUGCAAGUCGAACGGAGUUAAUUUGAGCUUGCUUAGAUUAACUUAGUGGCGGACGGGUGAGUAACACGUGAGCAAUCUGCCUUUCAGAGGGGGAUAGCAGUUGGAAACGACUGAUAAUACCGCAUAACAUAGGGAGGCCGCAUGACCAUCCUAUCAAAGAUUUUUAUCGCUGAAAGAUGAGCUCGCGUCUGAUUAGGUAGUUGGUGAGGUAACGGCUCACCAAGCCGACGAUCAGUAGCCGGACUGAGAGGUUGAACGGCCACAUUGGGACUGAGACACGGCCCAGACUCCUACGGGAGGCAGCAGUGGGGAAUAUUGCACAAUGGGCGCAAGCCUGAUGCAGCGAUGCCGCGUGAGGGAAGAAGGUUUUAGGAUUGUAAACCUCUGUCCUAUGGAAAGAUAAUGACGGUACCAUAGGAGGAAGCUCCGGCUAACUACGUGCCAGCAGCCGC
rnacentral:rRNA from 1 species